rnacentral:rRNA from 1 species
CCCUUAGAUGUCCUGGGCCGCACGCGCGCUACACUGAUGCAUGCAACGAGUUUAUAACCUUGGCCUGAAAGGUCUGGGUAAUCUUUUGAACGUGCAUCGUGAUAGGGAUAGAUUAUUGCAAUUGUUAAUCUUGAACGAGGAAUUCCUAGUAAACGCGAGUCAUCAGCUCGCAUUGAUUACGUCCCUGCCCUUUGUACACACCGCCCGUCGCACCUACCGAUUGAAUGGUUCUGUGAAGAUCUCGGACUUCGAUAUUUAUUCUUUAUUGAGUUUAUAUUGUGGGAAGUUAUCUAAACCUCAUCAUUUAGAGGAAGGUGAAGUCGUAACA